rnacentral:rRNA from 1 species
GUCUACGGCCACACCACCCUGAACGCGCCCGACCUCGUCUGAUCUCGGAAGCUAAGCAGGGUCGGGCCUGGUUAGUACUUGGAUGGGAGAAAAUCAAACUCUAUUUCCA